GUGCAGAAUCCAAGACAGUACAGUCAUGCUUUGCUUAACAAUGUGGUUAUGUUCUGAGAAAUGUGUCAU